rnacentral:tRNA from 6 species
GGGUGAUUAGCUCAGCUGGGAGAGCACCUCCCUUACAAGGAGGGGGUCGGCGGUUCGAUCCCGUCAUCGCCCACCA